AUUGAACGCUGGCGGAAUGCUUUACACAUGCAAGUCGAACGGUAGAGGGGGCAACCCCUUGAGAGUGGCGAACGGGUGAGUAAUAUAUCGGAACGUGCCCAGUCGUGGGGAUAACGUAGCGAAAGUUACGCUAAUACCGCAUACGAUCUAAGGAUGAAAGCGGGGGACUCGCAAGAGCCUCGCGCGAUUGGAGCGGCCGAUAUCAGAUUAGGUAGUUGGUGGGGUAAAGGCUCACCAAGCCAACGAUCUGUAGCUGGUCUGAGAGGACGACCAGCCACACUGGAACUGAGACACGGUCCAGACUCCUACGGGAGGCAGCAGUGGGGAAUUUUGGACAAUGGACGCAAGUCUGAUCCAGCCAUUCCGCGUGCAGGAUGAAGGCCCUCGGGUUGUAAACUGCUUUGUACGGAACGAAACGGUGAGCUCUAAUACAGUUUGCUAAUGACGGUACCGUAAGAAUAAGCACCGGCUAACUACGUGCCA
rnacentral:rRNA from 1 species